GACGAACGCUGGCGGCGUGCUUAACACAUGCAAGUCAAGGGGGCCCGCAAGGGCAACCGGCGAACGGGUGCGUAACACGUGAGCAACCUGCCUUCGUGAGGGGGAUAGCCGGCCCAACGGCCGGGUAAUACCGCAUACGAUCUUUGGGGGGAGUCCCCUGGAGAGGAAACUUUCGAGGCACGAAGAGGGGCUCGCGGCCUAUCAGCUAGUUGGCGGGGUAAUGGCCCACCAAGGCGACGACGGGUAGCUGGUCUGAGAGGAUGGCCAGCC
rnacentral:rRNA from 1 species